ACGCCGCGUGAGCGAUGAAGGUCUUCGGAUCGUAAAGCUCUGGUGGGGGAGAAGAAGAAAGUCGGUGAAGAGCCGGCCCUGACGGUAUCCCCUUAGCAAGCACCGGCUAACUCCGUGCCAGCAGCCGCGGUAAUACGGAGGGUGCAAACGUUGCUCGGAAUCAUUGGGCGUAAAGCGCGCGUAGGCGGCUGAACAAGUUGGAUGUGAAAGCCCUGGGCUCAACCUAGGAUGUGCAUUCAAAACUGUUCGGCUUGAGUCUCGGAGGGGGUCAGAGAAUUCUCGGUGUAGAGGUGAAAUUCGUAGAUAUCGGGAGGAACACCAGUGGCGAAGGCGCUGACCUGGACGAUGACUGACGCUGAGGCGCGAAAGCGUGGGGAGCAAACAGGAUUAGAUACCCUGGUAGUCCACGCCGUAAACGAUGAGUGCUAGACGCUGGCGGAUUGACCCCGUCGGUGUCGAAGCUAACGCGUUAAGCACUCCGCCUGGGGAGUACGGUCGCAAGACUAAAACUCAAAGGAAUUGACG
rnacentral:rRNA from 1 species